GUAAGUUUGUUACAGUUUCUAGACUGUGUAGAUAUCUGUAAAACGCACCAUAACGUUUGAAUAUGCUUAAAAAAUAAUGUUUUCCAAUGUGAUGUACAGGUUAACUUCGCUGCAUCUUAUAUUAUUUGUUUUGCAAAUUAAUUCUUUGUUAAUGUACAUCAAUGUUUUUUAAAUACACUAGCAUCUUAAUGUUAUAAUAUUUUGUAUUUUAGGAGAAAAUGCCUAAAUUUUGUGCUGUUGUAGGUUGCGCGAAUCGAAGCACCAGAAAUGCGGACAAAUUUUAUUUUCCUUUCCCAGCAAUUACCAACAAUAAAGGUAAAUAUAUACAGGAUGGGGAAAAAAGGCGGAAGCUUUGAUUAAAAGCCUUGAAACGAGUGGAUUUAACGAAGCCAAAGUAAAGUAUUCCUAUGUUUGUUCAGAUCAUUUUAUUUUGGUAAACCUGCAGAUUUGUCGGAUGUGGACCAUCCUGAUUAUGUUCCAUCACAAAAUUUAGGAUAUCAAAAUAAAUCCACUCGUAAUACUUGUAAUGUUGAAAGACAAAAAUAGAGAAAACUGAAUAAAUGCCUCUAGACUUUUGAA